rnacentral:tRNA from 1 species
GUUGAGGUAGCUCAGUGGUAGAGCUUUCGGCGCUUAACCGAAAGGACGCAGGUUCGAGCCCUGCCCUCAAUG